rnacentral:lncRNA from 10 species
CUGUGAUGUUUAAGAAAGACCAAAGGGACCAGCUUGGCUGGGGGAGUGAAGGAGGAGAGAGGAAGCCAGAGAUGGGAUCAGACAGGUAACAGAACAAAGCAUCUGGCUGUGUAGGUCAAGGCUGUAUGGGAAGCAUGGCGGUAUCUGCUCGGCUUCUGGGGAGGCCUCAGGAAAACUACAAUCAUGGCGGAAGGUGAAGGGGGAGCCAGCACUUCACAUGGCCAGGAGCAGCAGGAAGUGGAAGAGGUGCUACACACUUUUAAACAGCCACAUCUCAUGAGAACUCACUAUCUCCACAACAGCACCAAGAGGGAUGGUGUUAAACCAUGAGAAACCAGCCCCAUGAUCCAAUCACCUCCUACCAAGCUCCAUCUUCAACAAUGGGAAUUACAGUUCAACGUGAAAUUUGAGCAAAGACACAGAUUGAAACCAUACCAGCCAUAGAUGGGUGCUGCACAGCCAGGGCUUUCCGUUUGGAGCUGCCCAUUAAAUACCCAGUUGCUGUGCCCAUUCACUGGCAGGCCAAUUAAUACUUUCUAAUAUAAUUUAAUAAACCCUUAACUUUGUGAGUGGCCAAAUGGCUACUACUACUCAGUUUUCAAGACUCAGUUCCAAUAUGCAGAUAAAGUUGUGAAAGAAUGGAGAAAACUGUUAAGAUUAGUUAUCUCUGGGAAAGGAGAGUAGGUAGGGGUGAUCAUGAGAGGGACUUUUCACUGUAUAACCUCCUAUGCUAUUUGAAUAUCUCACAAUAUUAGUGUAUUAUUUUUAUAAUUGGAUUUUCAAAAGUUAGAGAAAUGGGGGUGCCGUCUUUGUUUUUUUUGGUUUAAAAAUGACCUAAAAUGUCUUGUAAAGAAGGCGCAAAAGCCAUAUGGGAAACAAUAAGUAAAAAUACCUUAAGUAGUUUUUAAAAAUUAUUGUCUUAAACAUCAUUGAGAGCUGUUGUCUCAUUUAAAAUGUACUCAUUAACACGCCAAAGGAUAAAAUAAAUAAGUAAAUAAGGAGCA